rfam:Ipomoea nil DNA, scaffold: scaffold1250, cultivar: Tokyo-kokei standard.
GUCGGUGUAGUAUAGUGGUGAGUAUUUCCGCCUGUCACGCGGGUGACUUGGGUUCGAUCCCCGGCAACGGCG